GCUGGAGGAGCUCAGUCGGCAGGACAGAGGACUGAAAAUCCUCG
rnacentral:tRNA from 1 species